AUUGAACGCUGGCGGCAGGCCUAACACAUGCAAGUCGAGCGGAUGAAGGGAGCUUGCUCCUGGAUUCAGCGGCGGACGGGUGAGUAAUGCCUAUGAAUCUGCCUGGUAGUGGGGGAUAACGUCCGGCAACGGGCGCUAAUACCGCAUACGUCCUGAGGGAGAAAGUGGGGGAUCUUCGGACCUCACGCUAUCAGAUGAGCCUAGGUCGGAUUAGCUAGUUGGUGGGGUAAAGGCCUACCAAGGCGACGAUCCGUAACUGGUCUGAGAGGAUGAUCAGUCACACUGGAACUGAGACACGGUCCAGACUCCUACGGGAGGCAGCAGUGGGGAAUAUUGGACAAUGGGCGAAAGCCUGAUCCAGCCAUGCCGCGUGUGUGAAGAAGGUCUUCGGAUUGUAAAGCACUUUAAGUUGGGAGGAAGGGCAGUAAGUUAAUACCUUGCUGUUUUGACGUUACCAACAGAAUAAGCACCGGCUAACUUCGUG
rnacentral:rRNA from 1 species